CAGUCGCCGCGGUAAUACGUAGGGUGCAAGCGUUAAUCGGAAUUACUGGGCGUAAAGCGUGCGCAGGCGGUUUUGUAAGACAGGCGUGAAAUCCCCGGGCUCAACCUGGGAAUGGCGCUUGUGACUGCAAAGCUAGAGUGCGGCAGAGGGGGAUGGAAUUCCGCGUGUAGCAGUGAAAUGCGUAGAUAUGCGGAGGAACACCGAUGGCGAAGGCAAUCCCCUGGGCCUGCACUGACGCUCAUGCACGAAAGCGUGGGGAGCAAACAGGAUUAGAUACCCCCGUAGUCCCUGUCUCUUAUAA
rnacentral:rRNA from 1 species